UACAGAGGGGCAAGCGUUAUUCGGAAUUAUUGGGCGUAAAGAGCGUGUAGGCGGCCAGGUAGGUCCGCUGUGAAAGUCCGAGGCUCAACCUCGGAAUGUCGGCGGAAACCCUCUGGCUAGAGUCCGGAAGAGGAGAGUGGAAUUCCCGGUGUAGCGGUGACAUGCGCAGAUAUCGGGAAGAACACCCGUGGCGAAGGCGGCUCUCUGGAACGGUACUGACGCUGAGACGCGAAAGCGUGGGGAGCGAACAGG
rnacentral:rRNA from 1 species